GACGAACGCUGGCGGCGUGCUUAACACAUGCAAGUCGAGCGGUAAGGCCCUUUCGGGGGUACGACGAGCGGCGAACGGGUGAGUAACACGUGGGUGACCUGCCCUCAGCUCUGGGAUAAGCCCGGGAAACUGGGUCUAAUACUGGAUAUGACUCCACGGUGCAUGCCGUGGGGUGGAAAGCCUUGUGCGGCUGAGGAUGGGCCCGCGGCCUAUCAGCUUGUUGGUGGGGUGAGGCCUACCAAGGCGACGACGGGUAGCCGGCCUGAGAGGGCGACCGGCCACACUGGGACUGAGACACGGCCCAGACUCCUACGGGAGGCAGCAGUGGGGAAUCUUGCGCAAUGGGCGAAAGCCUGACGCAGCGACGCCGCGUGAGGGAUGACGGCCU
rnacentral:rRNA from 1 species